AUGUCUUCAGAGAUGCAGUCCACUGGCGCAAGCCGGCCGCGCUGCGCGCUGUGCGGCGCGGGGGCGGACGUGCACUGCUAUGCCGACGCAGCAUUCUCCUGUGCGAUGUGCCACGCCCAGGCGCACUGCACCAGCUCCCUCGCGUCCCACCACCGCCUCACGCGCGUCCAACCUGAGCCGAACCACGUACGCGCGAAGGUUUCGGCCAGGGCGAUGGACCUGGACCCCUGGGUAGCGCGCCUACGUGUGCCGCCGCCCAACGACGUCCGCACGGAGGUUACAGCCAGGGCGAUGGGCCUCGACCCCUGGGCUGUGCGCCUACGUGCCGCCGCAGCCGGCAGCACGCGUGUGCCACUGCCCAACAACGUCCGCACGGAGGUUACAACCAGAGCAAUGGAACUAGAGCCCCGGGUAGCGCGCCUAGGUGCCGCCGAAGCCGGCAGCACGCGUGUGCCGCCGCCCAACAACGUCCGCACGGAGGUUACAGCCAGCGCGAUGGGCCUCGACCCUUGCACCGCGCGCCUACGUGCCGGCGGCCGCACGUGUGUCCCGCCGCCCACCGACGUCUGCCGCAGCUGCGAGGCCACGUUCCUGCUUUUGGCCAGGCGGGUAGGCCUGGACGUGGGGGCUGCGCACCUACGUGCAGCCGCAGCCUCCCGCAGGCUCCGAUUGGAGUUCGCCGACGCGCCGCCCAUGCCACUACGCGUCGCGAUGGCUGUCGCGCUAUGGAGGGAGGUGGCGGAUCACGGCGUCGUCCACCAGCCUGGCCGCGCGCUGCAGCGCCUGGCAACCUGGGCACACAUGCCGACGAGUUACCUUGUGGCGGUGGCGACGGCGAUCGAGGGAGUGCGCCAAGUAAGGACGACCGCAGUGGACGUUGAGGAGGACUCGGUCGACAGCGCGAUCGGGGGAGCGCGCGAAGUAAGGACGGUCGCACUGGAUGUUGAGGAGGACUCUGUCGACUGCGCGAUCGGGGGAGCGCGCGAAGUAAGGAUGGUCGCACUGGACGUUGAGGAGGACUAG
rnacentral:rRNA from 1 species